UCCCGGCCUUGAUAACAUCCGCCAGUACCUGCCCUUAAGACUGGGAUAAUCCGGGAAACGGGGCUAAUACCGGAUAACAUUUUGAACCCGCAUGGUUCGAAAUUGAAAGGCGGCUUCCGCUGUCACUUAUGGAUGGACCCGCGUCGCAUUAUCUAGUUGGUGAGGUAACGGCUCACCAAGGCAACGAUGCGUAGCCGACCUGAGAGGGGUGAUCGGCCACACUGGGACUGAGACACGGCCCAGACUCCUACGGGAGGCAGCAGUAGGGAAUCUUCCGCAAUGGACGAAAGUCUGACGGAGCAACGCCGCGUGAGUGAUGAAGGCUUCGGGGUCGUAAAACUCUGUUGUUAGGGAAGAACAAGUGCUAGUUGAAUAAGCUGGCACCUUGACGGUACCUAACCAUAUAGCCACGGCUUACUACGUGCCAGCAGCCGCGGGUAUUACGUAAGG
rnacentral:rRNA from 1 species